rnacentral:lncRNA from 1 species
AUGGUGGAUUACUAUGAAAUUCUAGGAGUGUGGAGAGAGGCCUCACCCGAGGAUAUUAAAAAGGCACACCAGAAACUGGCACUGAAGUGGCACCCAGAUGAAAAUCCUGAGAAUAAAAAGCAGAGAGAAAAUUCAAACAAGUAGCUGAGGUGUGUGAGGUGUUGUCAGAUGCUAAAAAACGGGACAUCUAUGACAAAUAUGGCAAAGAAGGAUUAAAUGGUGGAGGAGGAGGUGGAAGUCAUUUUGACAGUCCUUUUGAGUUUGGCUUCACAUUCUGUAACCCAGAUGAUGUCUUCAGGGAAUUUUUUGGUGGAAGGGACCCAUUUUCAUUUGACUUCUUUGAAGAACUCUUUUGAGGACUUGUUUCAGAAUCAAAGGGGUCCCCGUGGAAGCAGAAACCAAGGGUCGGGGUAGUUUUUCUCCACAUUCAGUGGAUUUCCAUCUUUUAGAAGUGGAUUUUCUUAUUUUGAUAUAGGAUUUAUUAAUACUUCAUUUGGGUCACUCGGUCACGGGGGCCUCACUUCAUUUUCUUCCACAUCAUAUGUUGGUAGUGGGAUGGGCAACUUCAAAUCGAUAACACUUCUACUAAAAAGGUUAAUGGCAGAAAAAUCACGAUAAAGAGAAUUAUCAAGAAUGGUCAAGAAAGAGUAGAAGUUGAAGAAGACAGCCAGUUAAUGUCUUUAACAAUAAGUGUUAAGGAGCAGCUGCUGCACUUGGAUAACAAGUAA